rnacentral:lncRNA from 1 species
AAUGAAGGCGCUAGACCAAAGGCAGGCAGCCUGAGGCACCAGGGACCACGGAAGAGGACAGGUGUGAUUUGUGGAGUGAUUUUGAAAGUCAAGUCAGAGAACCUUGGAAUCCGUAUGGAGGCAAUCUGUAGCUGGAGCAAGCUGUCACUGACGGCAGUGCAUGAUUUCAUGUUUGUGCACAUAUUUCGACUCCAAUUUUAGACAUUGUGGACCACCAUGUAGACAAGGACAACACCUCGGUGAUGGUGACGUGAUAAGACGGAAGAACCCUAGACUCCCAACAACUUCAUGGAGCAGAGCCAUCAUCAACUCAGUCAUUUACGUGAGAGAUAAGGAAACAUUUCAUCGACAAAGCUAUGGCAAGAGCUCUACUUAUAGAAAGGAGCCUUGAAGUGAACUUUUCUCAACUCUACUCAUUGACAGCAA